UACAGAGGGGGCAAGCGUUGUUCGGAAUUACUGGGCGUAAAGGGCGCGUAGGCGGCCUGUUAAGUCGAACGUGAAAUCCCCGGGCUCAACCCGGGAACUGCGUCCGAUACUGGCAGGCUUGAAUCCGGGAGAGGGAUGCGGAAUUCCAGGUGUAGCGGUGAAAUGCGUAGAUAUCUGGAGGAAUACCGGUGGCGAAGGCGGCAUCCUGGACCGGCAUUGACGCUGAGGCGCGAAAGCGUGGGGAGCAAACAGG
rnacentral:rRNA from 1 species